AACCAAUCUUUUUCCUUGGUUUUGCAUUUCCCCUGUCCUAAGUUUUUUUUUCUGAAGCAGUAAGCUUCUACAACUCUCCGUUCUCCCCCUUCUCUUAUCUAUCUCUCCAUUAAAACACCCUUAAAAUAAAAAUGGAAGUGGUUUCUGUAGACUAAAAUUACCAUUCUCUAAGUUAUAUCGGUUUGAUUAAACCAGAUGUUGAAGACUUGUAUCAGAAUUGUUUGUCAGGUCAUUCGGUUAAGACCCAAAUUAAUCACUUCUGGUAUUCUAUGGGGGAAUUGGAGACAUUGCUGCUCACAACAAAAUCACUUACUCCAGAAAGAUACAAUGGUAACCACAUCUAACCCAUGUUGAUGAUGAUAAAUGAGAUGAACAAUUUAAGGUUCAAUGGAAAAGAGCAGCUAUUAGUGGUGGGGUUGGUUUUGGAUUUGUUGGUCCUAUUGGACAUUACUGGUAUGAAGGUCUAGAUCGACUGAUAAGAUCACAACUUAGAUUCCCACCAAACUCAUUACGAUUUUUUGCCAGUAGAAUAGCUCUUGAUGGGGAUGUCUUCGGGCCAAUAUCUGGAAUCUCGUUCUUCAGUUACCUUGGGUUUGCCUCUGGAAGAAGGUAUUAAGAGGGGAUUGAUACCAUCAAUGGCCGUCAGAGCUGCAUUUGGACCAAUAAUCCAAUUCAUAAAUAUACAUUCCUCUUAUGUAUCAACUCCUCUAUGUCAACAUGUUGUCUGUUGGAUAGUGCUUUCAUGUCUUGGAUUGAACAACAGGAAAAUGCUCCUUGGAAGAGAAAAAACAUUGCACAUUCUUCCUUUUGAAGACCAGCAACUACAGAAGAAGCCAAUCAAGGAAUGCUGGUGUUUGCUGUUUGAUACGAUGAAAUAUUCGAAAGAAAAUUGAGGGUAGGUUCUUGCUUAACUCGGGUUUACGAAUUCUGAUUGUUAUCGACUAAAACUUCAUUUGGGCACUCUUGAACCUGAAUCAAGAUUCGAUAGUAGUCGAAUGAAACUCGAUUUCUGUAGGACAUUUGUUUUUGAAUUCAGUAAGCAAAGUUGAUGUGAACUGAACUGGAUUCAUUCUUGGUCCUGCCUAAUUUGCAGCUUUAAAGAUAAUCCUUCUUCAUUUGUAGCUUCCACUAUCUCUUAAAGUGCAAUUGGUAGAUUGGGUAGUUUCAGAAUGGGCCUUAAUCGGAUACAUAGCUAUCGGAGAAUAUACGGCCCGGUAAUCCACGCUUAAAAAAGUCUUCAAGUUUAAGACAGUAUUACCCUUGAAAAUUUCAA